AUUGAACGCUGGCGGCGUGCCUAACACAUGCAAGUCGAGCGGUAACAGGUGUAGCAAUACAUGCUGACGAGCGGCGGACGGGUGAGUAACGCUUGGGAAUCUGCCUGAUAGUGGGGGACGAACCCGGGGAAACGUCGGGCGUAAUACCGCAUACGCACUACGGUGGAAAGCCGGGACCGCAAGGCCUGGCGCUAUCAGAUGAGCCCAAGUCGGAUUAGCUAGUUGGAGGGUAACGGCCUACCAAGGCGACGAUCCGUAACUGGUCUGAGAGGACGACCAGUCACACCGGAAC
rnacentral:rRNA from 1 species